rnacentral:rRNA from 1 species
AGCGGCGGACGGGUGAGUAACGCGUGGGUAACCUGCCUCAUACAGGGGGAUAACAGUUGGAAACGGCUGCUAAUACCGCAUAAGCGCACAGUACCGCAUGGUACGGUGUGAAAAACUCCGGUGGUAUGAGAUGGACCCGCGUCUGAUUAGGUAGUUGGUGGGUAACGGCCUACCAAGCCGACGAUCAGUAGCCGACCUGAGAGGUUGAACGGCCACAUUGGGACUGAGACACGGCCCAG